rnacentral:misc_RNA from 1 species
UUGGAGGAAGAAGAGAAAGUAUGUUUCUUGCUUUUCUCUCUUUGUGCCUGUGGAUUUUUUAAAUUACGUUGCAUAUGCUAGUUUUAGCUGAUUGUGUGCGGUCUAUUAAUGUUUUGGUGUCUUAGUGUGGCUGGUGUAAAAAGACUGGAAAAGGAGAUGGAUCUCAUCUUUUAUGAUUAUUUAAGGUUCUAAACCUAGCAAAAAUUUGAUCUGAUUAUAGAUGAGUGGAUAUAUUUGUCAUUGCCCGGUGAUUUUCAAGCUGGAAUGGUAUUUUUUGUGAAAUAUGGUGUAUUUUUUUGGACCUUUCUUACUAGUGAUUAGCGUUUGAAGCUGUCUCAUGGUUUCAAUUUGAUUUUCCAUUAGCAAAGAUUUUGGUAGAUGUUCUUGUCGCAAUGCACCUUCCUUAUCAUGACUAUACUAUCAUGAAAUAAUAAUAUAAUAUACUGCAGAAAUUAACCGCCUUCACUAAAAGUUGUUAUUGUGCUAUACUGAUUGAAUUUUGAGGAAGUUGAUUGAAGUGUAGAAGUUACCUUUGGCCCAUUAACCAAUUUAAAAUAUGGUUGGGGAAUGUAACUGGAAUUCAUGGAUGAAAAGACACAUUAUCUGCUUUGAGUAUGUUGCUCACCGGAUUCUUCAGUUGCCCAAUUAUAUCUUUUCUGUGGUAUGUUUAAUGUGACG